rnacentral:rRNA from 1 species
UGCAUGGGCGUCGCGCUAUAAUGCAGUCGAGCGAGACGAUGAUCGCGCGAGCUUGCUCCCUGAUGUCAGCGGCGGACGGCCUGAGUAACACGUGGGUAACCUGCCUGUAAGACUGGGAUAACUCCGGGAAACCGGGGCUAAUACCGGAUGCUUGAUUGAACCGCAUGGUUCAAUUAUAAAAGGUGGCUUCGGCUAACUCUUACAGAUGGACCCGCGGCGCAUUAACUAGUUGGGGAAGUAACGGGUCCCCAAAGGAACGAUGGGUAACCCAACUGAAAAGGUGAACGGACAAUUU